UUUUUUGUGGAGAGUUUGAUCCUGGCUCAGGACGAACGCUGGCGGCGUGCUUAACACAUGCAAGUCGAACGGAAAGGCCAGUGCUUGCACUGGUACUCGAGUGGCGAACGGGUGAGUAACACGUGGGUGAUCUGCCUUGCACUCUGGGAUAAGCUUGGGAAACUGGGUCUAAUACCGGAUAUGAGCCACUUUUAGUGUGGUGGUUGGAAAGUUUUUUCGGUGCAAGAUGAGCUCGCGGCCUAUCAGCUUGUUGGUGGGGUAAUGGCCUACCAAGGCGUCGACGGGUAGCCGGCCUGAGAGGGUGUACGGCCACAUUGGGACUGAGAUACGGCCCAGACUCCUACGGGAGGCAGCAGUGGGGAAUAUUGCACAAUGGGCGGAAGCCUGAUGCAGCGACGCCGCGUGGGGGAUGACGGCCUUCGG
rnacentral:rRNA from 1 species